UACGUAGGGUGCGAGCGUUGUCCGGAAUUACUGGGCGUAAAGAGCUCGUAGGUGGUUUGUCACGUCGUCUGUGAAAUUCCGGGGCUUAACCUCGGGCGUGCAGGCGAUACGGGCAAUACUUGAGUGCUGUAGGGGAGACUGGAAUUCCUGGUGUAGCGGUGAAAUGCGCAGAUAUCAGGAGGAACACCAAUGGCGAAGGCAGGUCUCUGGGCAGUAACUGACGCUGAGGAGCGAAAGCGUGGGGAGCAAACAGGAUUAGAUA
rnacentral:rRNA from 1 species